rnacentral:lncRNA from 1 species
CUUCUACAGUGAAGACUUCUCAGAGGUCCCCAGGGCUGGGAGAGCAUAGCUUGUUGAGAGCCGUGGCCCAGGCCUGUGAAACAGAUGGCACACACUCAGCUUGGUUAAAAGUCUGGGUGGAUGAAUGGACUGCAGCGGUCCAGUCUUCUAUUGGAAACGGAAAUGUCCGCGAAUAACAAUAAAAUAAAAAAAUGAGGACGAC